rnacentral:snRNA from 1 species
GGAUGUGAGGGCAAUCUGGCUGUGACGCCGGCUGUCCCACUGAUCACCAGGGCUGAUUCGGCCAAUCUGCUGGGCGAGCCGGAGCCCCUUCCUCUCUCCCUGCUUCGUGUCAUCAUCCCAGAGUCAAGGACUUGGUCACAGAGGACAACUACUGUGACAGAAGAUGACAGUUUCCCUGGUCAAGCAUAUAGUAGUGCUCCCUUGCUAGAACCUCCAAACAAGCUCUCAAGAGAGAAGAGAUAAUAUCAGGAACCCAAAUGACAUCAGACUUUUCCACAGCCAAAAAUACUGAAAAGCCUGGGAAAUACCUACACCAUGCUGAAGGAAACCUAUUU